rnacentral:rRNA from 1 species
AGAGAUUGAACUGAAGAGUUUGAUCCUGGCUCAGAUUGAACGCUGGCGGAAUGCUUUACACAUGCAAGUCGAACGGCAGCACGGG